GACGAACGCUGGCGGCGUGCUUAACACAUGCAAGUCGAACGAAGUGGCGAACGGGUGAGUAAUACGUGGGUAACCUGCACUCCUUUUUGGGAUAAGCCUUGGAAACGGGGUCUAAUACCGAAUAAAGGGGGUUGGGCUCGCGUCAUAUCAGCUUGUUGGUGGGGUGAUGGCCUACCUAGGCGGUGACGGGUAGCCGGCCUGAGAGCGUGACCGGCCACGUUGGGACUGCAAUCCGGCCCAGACUCCUACGGGAGGCAGCAGUGGGGGAUAUUGAACAAUGGGCGAAAGCCUGAUGCAGCGAGGCUGCGUGGGGGAUGAAGGCUUUCGGGUUGUAAGCCUCUUUCGCUACCGAACGUGUAGGUGGAGAAGAAGCGCCGGCUAACUACGUGCCAGCAGCCGCAGUAAUAC
rnacentral:rRNA from 1 species